UUACAUAAGUGUGGACGUCCGCUCUGGUGCUCUCUGCCCGCGUACAUACAACCCCUCUUCCUUUCAUUCUCCACUUGCAUCCUUGGGCUUCGUAUCUCAAGCAUCCUGAGCUCUGGGACCAUCAAGUUGGCAAUUCACUCUUGAACCAUUAACAGCAAUUGCAGCACAACACCAUCAUUCAGGUGCCUUGUCGCCUACAUCCAUUUGCUCGCUGUCUGCCUGGUCCUGGGUCCUUUUCCUCAAGUCUGACAGUCUGGACUCUGAUGCUCCCUCAGACCCGGGGGCUCUUCUGCUCACCCUUCUCCACAGCCCCACUGCCUCUAGCAGGCCAUCCUGCGCUGGCCUCUUCCCACUUCUUCACUCGCCUGACCUAUGCUGUGCUCUUCCUCCUGCGGGGGCUUCCUCAUGCCCUUGGCCCACUCUGCGGGGCAGGUUCUCCACACCACUCUCUCCUAGCUCCCUGCCGUCCCUCUGGGCCCAGUGUGUUCCCGGAUCCUCUCAACAAGCUCUCUCCUCUCCUGGCUGCCGGGUCCGUCUCCUGCGGUUCCUCACUCUCUGGCCUAUCAGACAGAGGUGGUCCUCUCCUCCACCACCCUCUCUCAGUUGUCCGAGGUAGUCACCUUACCUCCCACAUCCUGGGCCCGGUUUCGAGGUCUCUCCUGGUUUCUCCAGGGCAACGCACAGCAACACUUCCGCUACUCUCUGUGACCCCUCCAGCCAGCCUCAGUUGUCUCCUCUGCCUGUGCGCCCCUUCUCAGUCUCCCAUCCGCUGCUCAACCCAGUUCAGCCGUCUCUGCCUCAGACACAUUGUCACACACUGUCUGUCCACAUGUCCAGCCUCCAAAGCUUCUAUCCUCCCAGCUCCCCCCAGUGUAACCUUUCCUAUUCCAUUCAGAUCGUUUCACACUCCUCUGAACAUCGAGGGAACCUUUCCUGACUCUCUGCCUUCAUCCCUUCACCACGCUCCUGAUACCUUUAGCCUCGACCUGGGCUGCCACCCCUCCCUCCCCCAGCCUCCCUCUGCACUGAGCCCUGGUCCUGCUGCCGCCCUCCUCCUCCCCUCCCUUCUAGCAGCCACCUGUCCCCAGAGGCUCUCCUGCACUGACCUCUCCCACCCACUUCGAGCUUUACAUAAGUGUGGACGUCCGCUCUGGUGCUCUCUGCCCGCGUACAUACAACCCCUCUUCCUUUCAUUCUCCACUUGCAUCCUUGGGCUUCGUAUCUCAAGCAUCCUGAGCUCUGGGACCAUCAAGUUGGCAAUUCACUCUUGAACCAUUAACAGCAAUUGCAGCACAACACCAUCAUUCAGGUGCUUGUCGCCUACAUCCAUUGCUCGCUGUCUGCCUGGUCCUGGGUCCUUUUCCUCCAAGUGCUGACAGUCUGGACUCUGAUGCUCCCUCAGACCCGGGGGCUCAUCUGCUCACCCUUCUCCACAGCCCCACUGCCUCUAGCAGCCCAUCCUGCGCUGGCCUCUUCCCACUUCUUCACUCGCCUGACCUAUGCUGUGCUCUUCUCCUGCGGGGGCUUCCUCAUGCCCUUGGCCACUCUGCGGGGGCAGGUUCUCCCACACACACUCUCUCCUAGCUCCCUGCCGUCCCUCUGGGCCCAGUGUGUUCCGGAUCCUCUCAACAAGCCUCUCCUCCUCUCCUGGCUGCCGGGCUCCGUCUCCUGCGGUUCCUCACUCUCUGGCCUAUCAGGACAGAGGUGGUCCUCUCCUCCACCACCCUCUCUCAGUUGUCCGAGGUAGCUCACCUUACCUCCCACAUCCUGGGCCCGGUUUCUAGGUCUCUCCUGGUUUCUCCAGGGCACGCACAGCAACACUUCCGCUACUCUCUGUGACCCCUCCAGCCAGCCUCAGUUGUCUCCUCUGCCUUGUGCCCUUUCAGUCUCCCAUCCGCUGCUCAAGCCAGUUCAGCCGUCUCUGCCUCAGACACAUUGUCACACACUCUCCGUCCACAUGUCCAGCCUCCAAAGCUCCUAUCUCCCAGCUCCCCCAGUGUAAACUUUCCUGUUCCAUUCAGAUCGUUUCACACUCCUCUGACACAUUCGUGGGGAAACCUUCCUGACUCUCUGCCUUCAUCCUUCACCACAAUACUGAUAACUUUAGCUCGCCCUGGGCUUGCCACCCCUCCCUACCCCAGCCUCCCUCUGCACAGAGCC
rnacentral:lncRNA from 1 species